rnacentral:lncRNA from 1 species
CGGAUAAAUUUUAUAAACACAAUUUGAUUGAUAGGAUCUGUGAUGCGAUCUAUUGACCUAGGUAAGGUUUAAGAUCAAUGAGGCUCUAAGUGAAUAUCAAUUUAUGGACGGCGAAAAAUUCGAUGGCAAUGAUUGGAGAAAGGGGGGUUCACGAAUUAUUUGAAAAAUUGGUUGAGUACGUAGAAUUAUCUACAGAUUUAAAAAAAAAUACAACCUUUAUAUAAAUCGAGCAGUGGGAAAAGGCUUGGAAAAAACGUAGAUUAGAAUGUAAAAUCGCAAUUGAUAAUUUAAUGACGGACUUAUGGAGGGAAAAAAAGCAAAAUAAAAAUUUAUAACUGAAAAAAAAAAAAAACUUUCCUCUCUCUUCAAAGUUUAAGUCCUCUUGUCCGUAACUUGUAUCUUCCCAAAAACGCAAUCGGUCUCCAUAGGUCUAAAAGUCUCCAUAAUUUAUAAACUAUGAAGCCUUUGCAUUUUUUUGCUUCUAUACAGCGCUUUUCUGUAAGUGAUAUUUUCAUGAGUAGUUUUUCAUUUAUUUUAAGUGAACCUUACGAAAAAACCAUUCUUUCAUCGAAUACUUUCGCUUGUACAUUUACAUUUAGCGUCCAACGAGGGAGUGUAACAUCUUGGUACACCGUCCCCAUGCAGAGCGCGGGUCAAGUUUCACUUUCGGAAGUCGAUUGAAAACAUACAAGUACCGAAAAUAUCUGAUAGUCUCAGAGUGUGUUUAUAAGCCCCGAAAGGUUCGGCCCAUCAUUUUUUGACUCGCUGUGCAGCCCUUUCGGAUAAAGUUUAUAAACACAAUUUGAUUGAUAGGAUCUGUGAUGCGAUUUAUUGACCUAAGUAUAAGGUUUAAGAUCAAUGAGGCUCUAAGUGAAUAUCAAUUUAUAGACGGCGAAAACUUCGAUGGCAACGAUUGGAAAAAAGGGGUUCACGAAUUAUUUGAAAAAUUGGUUGAGUUCGCAGAAUUAUCUACCGAUUGUAAAAAAAAGAAGCAUUACAUAAAUCGAGCAGCGGAAAAAGGCUUGGACAAAAAACGGAGAUUAGAACGUAAAAUCGCAAUUACUAAUUUGUUGAACAAGCUUAAGGAGGAAAAAGCAAAAAAAAAAAAAUCUUAGGAUGUCAAAUCUUACACAUGUGAUAUACUCUGUUGAAGGUAAUAUUGGCGCUUCAAAAUCCAGUUUUAUUACAAAAAUAAGUGACUAUUUCCCUUUAGAAAUAGACCCAUUUUAGAACCCAUCAAUUAUUGGACUGAUUUCAACGGAAUUAAUGUCCUAAACCUUCAGUAUAGCGACCGUAGGAGGUACAGUUUUAUUUUUUUUCAAUCAUUGGUGUGCGAUCUAUUGACCUAAGUAAGGUUUCAGAUCAACAAGACUCCAACUAAAUAUCAAUUUAUGGACGGCGAAAAAUUCGAUGGCAAUGAUUGGAAAAAAAGGGUUGAUCCUCGUUAUGGCAGUGGAGUCUGCAAAGCAUGAAUCGCUACUACAUUAAACCGCUUCCCAUUUUUCUCCUGAGUCUCACCCGUCUCUGACCGUAAUGUGAUUACUCAUGAAAUUCAAACUGCACCAAUUAAAGGUCCACCGGCACGACAUUGGAUUCUGUAUUCCAGGCAAUAAGUGAAAGGUUUGAUCAACUAUCGUCACAUUUAUCCUUCGUAUUACUGUCAAGUUAUGGAAAAUUUGAAAGUCACUCACUUCCUAUCCAAGGAAUCUUGCAUGGAGUUCUUCUCGUUUCUCUUGUUUAAUGUUUGUGUCAGAGAGCUAAUUUCAGUAAUGGUAGAAGCUAAAGUAGACACCAAUUCAAAAGCUUCUCUGUGGUUUCUCCACCUUUCUAAUUCAGUAACUUGCUUACGCAACAAUUUAAUCCAAAGAAAUAAUUAAAAUAAUGUAAACUAGCUAGAAUAUUCCUCCUAUCUUUUUUUCAUUUUGUUCGUUAACACCAUGUCUUCUCCUUAGUUUGUCAAACGUACUUUAUUAGAGUCUAUCUAGAGCACAACUGCCUGAAUACUAUUUCACCCGAGGAUAUGGGAUUUGAAGCUUUGUAGACCUGUCUUGCUGCUGAUGUGAGCAUUGUUACAGAAAUUUUCUGUUUCUAACGGUUGUGAAUGCAUGUCGAUGGUGAAAGUGCAGAAGUGCGUAUCUCGGAAAACACGAUUUUUCAGGAGAGUAAAAAACUGUCUACAUUCCUGCUUAUUGUCAGUAGAAGAGUAAUAAUUCUUGAGGAUAGCAAGAAUAAGAUGCUUUUUCAGAAUUCAUCAAUAUUUUGAAUAAUUUCUCGCGCUGUUAGAAAAUACGACCGAAAUGCCGAGAUUCUCGUUUUCGGCACUAAGAAUUGACACUUUAUCACGAGAUACGCAUUUCUGCAAUUAGUGUUUUAAACCUAUUGUUGGCGGAUUUUGAUCAUUUAAAAACUAAAAAAGGGUUUUAUGCUUACAAUUCUUUAUCAGAAGCUUUAGUUUGACCUAAUACGGCCGGAUCAAGCAUUGUAUGAUUGGAAACUGACAUUAGAUUAUGAAAUACGCAUUUCUGCAAUUAACGUUUUGAAGCUACUCUUGAUCAUUAAGAUCAAAAAUAGAAUUUAUUCAACCUUAAAACUUAUUUAGAAGCUUUAGUCGAUCCAAUACACUAA